CGUAGUGGCGCACGGGUGCGUAACGCGUGGGAACCUGCCCCAAGGUUCGGAAUAACAGUUAGAAAUGACUGCUAAUACCGGAUAAUGUCUUCGGACCAAAGGUUUACUGCCUUGGGAUGAGCCCGCGUCGGAUUAGCUAGUUGGUGAGGUAAAAGCUCACCAAGCGACGAUCCGUAGCUGGUCUGAGAGGAUGAUCAGCCACACUGGGACUGAGACACGGCCCAG
rnacentral:rRNA from 1 species